UGAGACGCGAAACGACAUAAU
rnacentral:piRNA from 1 species